UGUCCAUAUCUUCGCUGGUCACUGCUGCUUCUGCCUUUAUCUGCACAAUAAUUUCAUGCUACAAGGCUGAAAGAUGUAAGAGCAAACUAUUUCUAGAGUUUGGUGUCAAAAAUUUAAAAAUAUCAUACGUUAACAAUGGAAGCAAUGUUAAACAAAUCUCCAGUUUCUUAAAUAUGGAUUAGAAAUCUUGGCAUUGGUCCUUCUUACUGCAGUGCUUGUGUAUUGGAUUGUAAUUGGAGAAGUUGCAACAAUCAUAGUGAUUGUGUUGGUGGUCCUGUGUCUGCUGCUAAUCCCAACUGUGUUAUUGACAUUGAUGGCUUGUGAUGUGAUAAGUUCCACGGAGACCUCGAAGAUCAAAACUUACGUUUUGAUGGUCGUGGGUGUGCUAUCUACGUCGGGUGAAAUUGCUGUGAUAUGUCUGUCUGCAUCCUUGAUUGCAGGGAUAACCUAUCCAGGUGACAAAGGAUGUGAACCAGCAGCCAACCUACAAUCAAACUUGACUGUUGCUUCUUGUGUGUCAAUUGCUUUCCUAUUGGCACUUCUUAUCUUUCACGCUAUACUUGUGAAUCGGAAUGAAAGGAGAUCUAGAAAUCGAUCUGAAAAUGCCAGUGCAAACAACAUCGAUAAACAUGAGCAAGUUGUGCUAAAUGAAGAAUCAUGUAAAUUCACUAGCACUGAUCUGGGUGAAGAGAUGCUUCAAACUGAGAGCACUGUUCUCAAAGAAGAAUAGCCUUAAGUAGUAAAACACCAUUCCCAGUGGCCAACUGCCUCCUGUCCAGAAGCACGGUUUGUGGAACUCUGCCUUUCAAUUCAGAGUUUCAACUUGUGCAGAUGACGUUUCCACUCACAAGGCAAAUGUUACUGAAAUCAUGCCUGGGGUCCCUCACUGUCAGUGGCUCUUCAGAAAGCAACAGGUGCCUUGGAAUUUGUAUCCAUUUCCCCUCAGUUCGACCUCAAUUCCUGCCCAGAAUUUUUCAAUAUCAAAAGAAAUAGGAACAGGAGGAGGCCAUUCAGCCCACUUUGCCCUUCAGUAAGACUGUGGCUGCUCUGGAUGUGAACUUAACUCUACUUUCUGGCUUGUCUCCCCAUACAGUUCCCCCACCGUAUAAUAACCCUUGCGAACUCAACUGUCUACCUCAACCCAGAUUGUGUUCUAUGACCUGGACUCCAGUCCUCUGGAAGAAAAUUCUGAAGUCUGAUGUUACUCUGAGGAGGAAAACAAUCUCCUUGUCUGUCUUAACGUGAAGCCCUCACUGUUUCAAACACACUCCCUAGCUCUAGAUUUCCCCAAAGAGGUUAACUUUAGUUUAGCAUCUAUCAUGGUAUCAUCCCUCAGUGUCAUAUGGGAAUAUGAUACAUUUUUUUUCCAUGAGAAUACGUAUCUUUUUUGAGACUCUAUUGGGUAAUGGCCUACAGUACUCAAUCUUUUAUUCAUAAGGUAACUGUUCCAAAUUAACUCUAACUUUCCAUUUCAGAAAGAAAAAUGUACACUAUGCUAGGCCGAGAUCCCCUACUCAGACCAUUGCUUCACAUUUCUCCACUUCCCAUCCACGGCCCUCCACAACACUUGCCCCUACUGCCUUUCCCUCCUUGCCUCCACCUUGCACCCCUUUCUCCCUUCAUCCCCUCUGCUCACUCCCCUUCAACCCCUCACCUCUCCCAGUCCCCUCCCUCCUCACCCUCCACAUUCCAUCUUAGCUCUCAUCUUCUCUGCCCCUCCCCCAGCCUCCAAAGACACCAUCCACCCUUCCCACCCCCUCCUUCCUCACCAUCUCCACCCCCUGCAUCCCCAGCCUACCCUCUUAGCUCUCCACCAUCCACCCCUCGCUCUCCUCCAUCCAUCAUCCCUUCUUUUUUCUUUUCUUACACCUCCCCUUAUAUCCUCCUCCUCAUCACCCCUCCCAUCCGCCUCUGCCCUCUCACAUGUACCCAUUGCCUCCUCAGCCCCCUCAACUCUGCCAGCCUCUCCUCCCACCCCCGAUCUCACCAGUCCCCAUCUUCUCCCCUCAGCUCCUUCACGCUCUCUUUGUCUUCUCCCCAUCACCCCAUCCACCUCACACCCCCCCCACCUCAUCCUUGCCCAACUCCCAACACAUCCUGAGGAAGCUCUGCCAUGACAGGGUUUUUGUUUCAAGUCUAUGGGUGUGAGGCUAAAAAGGCACAGCAGGUCAGAGUGCAUUCGAGGAUCAGGAAAGUCAACAUUUGGCGAAAACCCAUCGUCAGACCUGCUCCUCGGAUGCUAUCUGACCUGCUGUGCUUUUCCAGCCUCACACUUGUAGACUCUGCCUUCCAGGAUCUGCAGUCCUUAUUCUCGCCUCCUGUCUCUUUUGGUUCCUGAAGCUUUAUCUUCCUUUUGCCAGGGAAGCCUUAGUGCAAUUUAUAUAACUUUUUAAAAAAGAUUAAUAUGUAACACUUUACAACUUUUUGUGUAUGUCUGAAUUUUUAAAAUGGUGCUUUAUGUGAAUUAUUUGCUUUGCAUAUUUUUAUGGCUAACACCAGCAAGCCAAUACUUACUCGCCGCAUUUGAUUAUGCUGAGGUUUUCUUGUGUCAUCCAUUCAUUUCAUUUUAUUGUCAUUCAUUCCCUUGCUGUCGUUGGUCCUGCUGAAACUAACGUUGAACAUUCCUAGUUGCUCUUGUGAUGAUAAUAUUGAACGGAGUUCCUAAACCACUGAAGUCUGCCUUGGGAUGGUUCCUCCCACAGCCAUGUGAAAGUUAAAUAAAAUGUAGGAAAUCAGUUAGCUCUGCAAAAGGAGAGCAUUUCUGUCUGUGCUACCCUUUUUUAAUUGGACCAAAUGGAACAGAAAACAAAAUUGUAACAGUGUCCCACUUAUUAGGAUGUCAGGUACAUGAGCUGAAUAUUACUGUUAAGAUAAUGCACUGAUCUUGUUCAUCUGGCAAAAAUGAGCUAGUUAAAGGAGAGGACAGAAGCUUUUGAGAACGGACAGGGCAAUUAAAUUCUCCUACACUGUUGCAUUUUAACUUUUUUAUAUACAUUUUCUGUACAUGUAUUUUGACAUUGAGACUUUGGGAGAAUUUUAUAAGGGCUAUUUUAUCAUAAAUAUGGGUUUCCUAAACUCCGAAAGCCACUGAACUUUGAACUGUGACACAUUUGAAUCUGGAACCAAAUUGUCAGGUACAGCUAUAAAA